CUUGUGACCAUAAAGAAAAAGAGCUCUACAUACAGAAACAGGGCACAGACCGAUACACAGAAGGUUAAAAACAUAGGGCUUUGUACUACAGAGGAUUCACUGUUGACUCACUGAAGUUCCCUAUGCUUUUUUUGUCUUUUUUAGAUGAGCAUCUCAGAUGACGAAAUCAUACUUUCUUCUUCUGAUCAGAUUAGUGCCACGUCAAUGUCUCUCCGUUAUUCAAACACAAUAUGGACACUGACCCGAAGAACAAAGUUUUGCCAGUUGGACCAUUCCAAGUCAAAACAUCAGAAACAGCUCACGAUGCUAACCUCAUCUCCCAAGCACGCCUUUCUUGUCAUCAAAACAGAUACGGACCAAGAGAAAAGAGGGCCUGAGCUCCAGCUCUUUCCGGUAAGCUCACCCUUGCACUUUAUGAUAUGCAAGUUUGUUCCUUGUUAUUAUUCAAACUUGAAGUCAACAAAGGCCAGGCGUUUAGGAAGCAGAGAAUCCCAGACACAGGCUUCAAACAUGUCACGCUGUUUGCUCUCAGGUGGCUCACGCCGCUGAGCUGUGCCUCUUCUCUUGGCCUAUCCCUUGCUCUGGGCCUCAUCCCUCCUCACUCACCAGAGCGAGGAAACAAACAACAGACAUGAAAGAGGAGCCACUGGUAGAAGAAAGGAUUAACUUGGCUUUUUUCCAUGAAUUUGAAGGAUGAGCCUCAGAAUCUGUUGCUUUUUUUCUACUCUGGGUUUCAGCAGGACUGGAGGGAACAGACAUGUGCCCAGGCUUUAUUUCUUUUCAACAAAGUCCUACAAAGGCUAUCUCAUGGCCUUACCCCAUGGACUCAAAUACAAAUAGCAAUGUCUUGGCCAGAAAUCACAGAGCGAAAAAGGCUACAGAGGACACAUGCUAUCAGAUAAAACAAAAAACAUUUAAGGACUUAAAUAACAGUUUCCAACUCCUGGGUCAUACUCUGUGGUUUUUGCUCAGCACAUCCUGCUCACUGGAGUUUUGCUUCCUGCAAAACAGUGGCUCUAUGAGAUCACUCAUUUAGAAAAUAUUAUUCUUUUCUUCCCUUGGACCUCAGGUGCCGAGCCUUGGAUUAAUCAUAACACGAUAUUAUCACUGGGC
rnacentral:lncRNA from 1 species